rnacentral:rRNA from 1 species
AUUGAACGCUGGCGGCAUGCCUUACACAUGCAAGUCGAACGGCAGCACGGGAGCAAUCCUGGUGGCGAGUGGCGAACGGGCGAGUAAAGUAUCGGAACGUGCCCAGUCGUGGGGGAUAACGUAGCGAAAGUUACGCUAAUACCGCAUACGAUCUAUGGAUGAAAGCGGGGGAUCGCAAGACCUCGCGCGAUUGGAGCGGCCGAUAUCAGAUUAGGUAGUUGGUGGGGUAAAGGCUCACCAAGCCGACGAUCUGUAGCUGGUCUGAGAGGACGACCAGCCACACUGGGACUGAGACCCGGCCCAGAAUCCUACGGGAGGCAGCAGUGGGGAAUUCUGGACAAUGGGCGAAAGCCUGAUCCAGCCAUGCCGCGUGCGGGAUGAAGGCCUUCGGGUUGUAAACUGCUUUUGUACGGAACGAAAAGGUUUGGGCUAAUAAGCUGAGCUCAUGACGGUACCGUAAGAAUAAGCACCGGCUAACUACGUGCCAGCAGCCGCCGUAA